AUUGCUCCUGCCGUCUUAGGUGGGGGAGCUGGACUGACCACUGAGGAGGGGUGAGCCAGCAUUUGAGAUGCGUGCAGAGGUGCUUGUUCUGUCGGACUUUGUCACUGUACUACAGACACACUCAUCUGAAAUCUCACUGGGGAAAACAUCAUUAUUUUUGCAGGGUCAAAAGCCUGAGUCUGAAUCUUCUGCCAGCUGGUUGAAGAGACAGAGCCCUCAAACCGAAGGGUCACGGCAGGUGACUACGAGUUUUACAGUGUGGUGAUCGCACACGUUUGCACCCGCAGGACAGACAGGCAAGGGACAAGAGAAUGGACACGGCUUUCAAGAGUUUCCUGCUAUGGGAAAGGCACCAAGGAGGGCUUCCAUGAUGGGCCAGCGGGCAGAGCAAGUCCUCACUGGGCCAUUGA